GAGUGAAUGAAGGAAGGCAAUGAUGAGUGAAUAAGCUAUGGCAAGGAUGGCAAUGACUAUUAUUCUGGGUUCAAUUUUCCCUCCCUGACUCGUCUUCCUCUUCCUUGGAUUUCUGGUUCUAAGUAUUUCAAGUUAUCCCCACCAAAGUCAUCUGAUAAAGACCCAUUAAGCAAAUUCGAAUACAUAUCUACAUUAUAAACAGAGUGAAACCAGAGUUGUAUUCUUGCAAGACCUUCUGCGAAAAAGGUUCCUCUUAAAAGCUUUUCUUUUUGAAUUAAUCAAAUGGCUUUGAGAGGGGUUUGGCAACUGCAAAAACUAAUUGCAAGCUAUUGUGAUUGGGGUGGAAGUAGCAGAGGAAUAAGGUAUGCUUCUCAAUAUUACAAUUUCAAGUUUUGUUUUGCAUUUUGAUCAAGGUUUAUUUGUUUGUAGCGUUUUGUGCAAAAUUAAUUGCAAGGGUGAAUUUAAAUACUAUUGUAUCCAACAUGCCAUUAUAUAUGUUAUAUUGCUCUUAUGAUCUGUUUCUUUCAUUUUACGAUAAUAAACGUGUUGUACUUUCAUUUUUCACAUUUUUAGUAGGUCUAGUAGUUAUGGGUUACCAAUUUUGAUAUAUGCAAAAACACAUUUUUCUUGUUACCUAAAUAAUACAAUUUGUUUUUGGAUACAAAUUAAGAGCUUAAAAUCAUCAUGGUCACCCACUGAUUUUUAAUCAUAAGAUUGCCUCAUCACUAGUGUGCUACAUUUGAAUUUGAGGUGUCUGAACGAAGACAAUUUAUGAUACUCACUUGAGCUACUGGGUCAAAGACCAUGGAGAAAGAAUGCUAAGUGAUUCACUAUUGUGGCAAUUUAAGUAAUCAAUGGUUGUUACUGUUUUGUGAUUCGCAAGGGUACUUUCUGUCAGAAUGAUUAUGGAAUCCUAAAAAAUCUGAGAAUAUAUGGCCAGCUGAAAUUGCCAGAAUUUAAUCUUGGUGACAUACCCAAAUCAUUACCUUUAUGGAUGGCUUAUGGAAGAAAUGAUGCUUUAGCAUAUAUGAUUGAUUUUGCCCACACUCUGAAGGAACUACCAUCCACACCAGAACAUCUUUUGCUUGAAGAUUAUGGUCAUUUUGACUUUAUCUUGAGCUUAAAAGCUAAAAGAGAUAUUUAUGACCAUAUGACUAGAUUUCUUAAAUCUUUUGGAAACU